rnacentral:rRNA from 1 species
GUCCACACCGUAAACGAUGGAUACUAGGUGUAGGGGAUAUUAAGUCUUCUGUGCCGUCGCAAACGCAGUAAGUAUCCCACCUGGGGAGUACGGCCGCAAGGUUGAAACUCAAAGGAAUUGACGGGGGCCCGCACAAGCAGUGGAGUAUGUGGUUUAAUUCGACGCAACGCGAAGAACCUUACCAAGGCUUGACAUAUACAGGAAUAUAUAAGAGAUUAUAUAGCUCUUCGGAGUCUGUAUACAGGUGGUGCAUGGUUGUCGU